rnacentral:rRNA from 14 species
UAAGUUCCGACCUGCACGAAUGGCGUAACGACUUCCCCACUGUCUCAACUAGAGACCCAGCGAAAUUGGAGUGCGCGUGAAGAUACGCGCUACCCGCGGAAGGACGAAAAGACCCCGUGAACCUUUACUGUAGCUUGACAUUGGGUUUUGAGUAAUAUUGCGUAGGAUAGGUGGGAGAUGUUGAUGCGUGCAUUCCGGUGUACGUGGAGUCGUCCUUGAAAUACCACCCUUCCUAUACUUAGAUUCUAACUCUGUAAAGAGGACAUUGUGUGGUGGGUAGUUUGACUGGGG